UUGUGGAUUUAUGGUUAUAGAUGUGUGUAAUAUGUGUCAUGAAUUUGAGCUUGAUCUAACGGUUGAAUUGAAGAAUAUUGAUGUUUAAGUGAGUCAAGGUCUUAAAAAGUAGAAUUUUAGGUCUAGUGGGGGUUUUUGAGUUUUCUUGCAAUCUGUUGGUUGGAUUGGAGUGAAACUUGUGCGAGAGGAUAUUAGACUUGAUUUUCUAUAUAUGUAAGAAUUUUGAAAUCAAUCGAUCAGUGCAAAGGAGAGAUAUUAGCUCUGGAAGAUUGGCAUCAAGAUUAGAAAAGGACGCCAGUCAAUAUUAGAGCACAUUUUUGAGGUUAUCGUCAAUUUGGUAACUCCAAUCCUUUUUAACUUUUUUAUACUUGUUUAUAACUUAUUGUUUUAGAUGUGUGAAAAAUUUGAAUUAAGAUCAACGGUUUAUUUAUCAGUUAUUGAGGUUUAAAUCUGUUAUAGGAAUUACUAGAGUUUGGUUUAGGAUUUGGUUAGGGUUUGGAUUAGGAUUUGGUUUAGAAUUUAGUUAGGAUUUAAUUUAGGGUUUAGGAUUUGGUUUAGGAUUUGGUUGGAGUUUGGUUUAGGAUUUGGAUUAGGAUUUGGUUUAGGAUUUGGUUUAGGAUUUGAUUGAAGGUUUAGAAUUUGGAUUAGGAUUUGAUUAGGGUUUGAUUUAGGAUUAGGAUUUGGUUUAGGAUUUGGUUAGGAUUUGGUUUAGGAUUUGGUUGGGAUUUGGUUUAUGAUUUGUUAAGGGUUUGAAUUAGGAUUUAGGAUUUUAUUAGGAUUUAAGAUUCAAUUAAUUUUGGCCUAAAGUUUGAAUGAAGUUCAAUAGGAUUUUAACUAGAAUUAAAUUAAGAUUGAAUUGAGAUGUAUUUGAGUGAUAUUUGUGAUCCUUCUAAUAUUUCUUUAAAAAUUUCUAUUAUUUGUUUGAAAUUUCUUUAAGGUUUUUUUUGAAUUUGAUUAAGCUUGUUUAGCAAAAUUAUGGUCUAAUUAGAGUAUUUUUAGUAUUCUAUUAGAAUUAGGAUUUUGUUAUUGUAAGUUCCAUUCUUCCUUCCACAGUUAGGUGCCCGGAGCAUUCUCAAGCAAGAAUUCAUGUAUUACGACACCGAUCUU
rnacentral:lncRNA from 1 species